UCCCUGUAACUUAACAGUUUAGCAAAAGAGACUGAUUGAUAAGUACCAAACUUUAAAAAAAAAAAAGAUAUAAAUUACUUGUCCAUUUGUUGGCAUUUUCAAUGCUUGUAUAUGAUAUCCUCAUUAUCACAUAUUUAAAGAUAUUGAAAUUUAGGGUUGUGCUUUGUGUUUCAUGGUCUAAGUAUCAGUGUGGGGUGACACAUGCAUGGAGAAAUUGGGUUAAAUAUUAUGAAUUAUGAUAUUCAUAUAAUUUAUUGGCACCCGUUCAUUUCAAGCCAAUUGUUAAAUCUACCCACAGCUCUAAAUUUCUCUCAGGACUAAUGAAAUAUUUAUGAGGUAGUAUUUCAGUAUCCUUAUUAGGGUUGUUUUUGAUAUUUAAUGUUCUAUCUGUAUUUCUAUUGUCUACUACAGCACACUGAUUUUCUUUAGACUACUUUGAUACAUGCAUUUGUGCGUGAGAGAGAGAAAUUCAUAGUCAUCAAGUUAGAUAACCCUUUGCUAUGUUGUUCUUAUAUAUUUUAACCUUCUUUGAUCCUUUGCUAAUAACCUCAAUGUAAUUUUUCAUCCUUUUCUGAAUAAUCUUCAAUAUUUGUUUCAUAUAUGCAGAUAUCAAUGUAAUUGCUGUAUCCAUGCACUUCUGCUGGUGUGAGGAUUAAGGAAAAUGUGGAAUGUCUCUGUCCUCCUAAAUUUUAAUUUCUUAUUUUUUAACACAGCCUAUGUAUAUAUUUUUUACAGCUGUCUUCAUUUCCUUGUCGAAUACAUUUGGUUAUCCUCAUAAGCUUAAAUUUAAUUCACUAAAAAAUUCUAGUGUUCUUUGAGUGACCAAAAUGAAAUAAUUACUCUGAAGAAUUUGCACUUCUUACAGUAAAAAUUUAUUUCUUAUAGUUCCAAUCUUACAAGUUUUUGCACGAUUUCUUUGUUUCAGGAAAAAAUAUUUUCGUCUAGUGUUUGAUUGUGACACACGGUGUGAUAUCACAAGUUAUUGUUGAUGUGACAAAACCUGAUGUUAUUGUUUUCUGUUGCUCACCACUUGGGUGAGUUUGACAAUUAACUGUGUUUCUUUGUUCAAUUGUUUGUUCAUUUUAUGUCCAUUUUUCCAUGCUUGCUUGGAUUGGAUGAAUGUGUUUUGAAGUAUUGUUUUUACAGCUGGAUUUCUUUUCCACCACUAACUCUUAUCUGCUUUUUAAGUAAGGAAUCUCUUAUUUAACAUAGUUUUGAAGGCACAAAGUGCCCUAUGAUUUGUUAGUAGAGGAAACUGACAACCACAUCGCUCAUUGUACCAUAUAGGUGAUCACAGAUUAUAAAGUAAAACAUACACACACACACACGUGUUUCAUUGAUGGUCAUCUUUCAGUUUCUGUUUAUUAAAUCGACUCACAAGACUUUGGUCAUCCUGGGGCUAUUGUGGAAAACACUUGCCGAAGGUACUGCUCAUUGAGACUGAACCUAGAAACAUGUGGUUGGGAAGUAAACUUCUCUAUCAUACAGCUAUUCCUAUAAAUCUAUUUUAAUGUUAUUGAAUAUCACUAUCCUCAGAGUGGCACAGAGAUAAGUAAUUAAAUAUUUAACCACUUUGCAAUUUAAAUAUCUCGUGCUUUUGUUUUAGAUACAAAAUAUGUGGCUGUUGGUCUGCUGAAAUUUGUUUUUUGAUCUAUCUAAUAUUCCUUUAUAAAUGACAACAUUCCAUUUUUGUGUUCUGUCCUUAAAUGUAGCAUAAACAUGUGGCUGUUAAUAGUUGUUGAAGCUUUAGUUAUAUUUAAUAGGUCAAGUCAUGUAGAAAUUUCCUUGCCAGCUCAAUUUUUCCCUCAAUGCAGAAGAGGCUGGUAUUUUAUAUAAACAUUUAGUGUUUGAGUUGUUCAGCCCCAGGUCAACCCUAAAUGAACCCUAAACGUUAUGCGUUUCCUUUAAGGGAAAUACAAGGACUGCUUUAUCCAAUUUGCCCUUCCAUUUUUAAAGACAGUAGGUGUUGAGGUGUGUGAGGGGGCAGGGGUGGGUCAGAAGUGACUACUAUUUCUAACAAAUCAAGUGACUACAUCAAUACUACCUCAUCAGCUCAUAUCUGUUAAGUAGUUGGAGUGAUGCUCUUUAUUAACACACAGUUUGAAAGUAUAUUAAAACAUUUCCCUUUUUCAAAUAUUUCAUAUCUUGUUGAACUAAGGAUGUUUCUAUCAUAUAAGAUUGCCAAAGUUUGAUUCCCAGUGUUACCUAUCCUUUGAUUUCAUAGUUAUUCUUGCUCGUUUCUUUGGUUUGCAAAUUAUCCUUUUCCCAGAAGGCAAAUUUCUGUUGCGUUGGUUAAAAAAAAGAAAAAAAGUAUUAUUUCUUUUUACUGUAUUUCCUUCUAGCUGUCACUCAGUCGAGUCAAUUAGAUUGAAAUUGGUAGAGUUACGUCCCUUGCCCUGAGAUGCAGCAUUGACUUCGGUAAUAUUUCAGCUCCUUAAAAUCAAAAAUGUAUAAAUUUGUUACUACUAUAAUAUUUUUGAAUAACUUCUGCUAUAAUAUUCGUGAUAGUGUUUGUCAUUUAGUAACUUGUAGAGUGUAAAUACCAUUUUUUGUUUGUUUUUCACAUUUAAUAAAUUUUAGCUUUCAGAAAUGUUUUCACAAGAAGCUGGAGAAUAUAUUUUUGGUACAUAUUUCAAAAUUUUAAAUGAGUUUUGAAUGAUUGGUUUUGGAAAUAAGUAAUUCUUAAUUAUAUUUCCAUAUUUAUUUGUUAAAUAUAUUAAUGAUUAUGUUAUUCUAUGUGUCUCAUUUAAACCUUAUUGUUAAGAUUGGCAAACCACUUUUGUGAGAACAUUCUUAUAUUUUGUGCCUUUUUGAAGAGGCUAAUAAGAAUCUUUUCUGCAUCAGCCUUCUCUAGAUCCUAUCCCUGCUUCAUGAUCAGGAUCCAUCUUUUUAUCGAUCCCUCCCAUACACAUACAUUGGGAAAUAUAUAUAUGUAAAGGAUAGUAUGAUAUUUUACUUUGAUGGCUCCACUAAACUACUAAAUGAUAUAAGUAAGAGGGAUAUCAUUUAGUAGUACAUGUUAAAAUUAGAAAAAUUUAUGGCUGUGUAGUUUAGAAGUUUGCCUUGCAAUAAUGUAAUACCACAAUGUCAUACCUUGGGCAUGUAUUCUACUAAUGUUUUAGGUUGGCUGAAGCAUUGAGUGACAUUUAAAAGAGUAGAACUGUGCAGUUUGUUAGAUGUGUCCGUGUUUAGCAUGGAAUUGUUAAUUUGUGCCAAACAAAAUUACUUUGGGGUCUUUGAUUCCAUCUUGGUUACUUCCUUUUAUUCUCAGAUUGACUUUGCCAUUCUACCUAUGUGGUUUUUUAAAUAAGUAUCAUACAAAGUACUGGGUUGAUACAAUAAACUAAAACCCUUGAAGGCAAUACCUUGCAUAACUGCAACUGAAUAAUUGAAAUCAGUAACAGAAUAUCUCUGAUACUGAUGUAAUAUUACAUUCUGAGGUGCAAUGCCAUCGCAGUUUUUUCUUGCAGUAGGAAUACAGACUCUAAGAUUUUAUCAAGAUUAUCUUAAUUCCAUUUAUUUGUAGUGUGAUCUUUACAUUUCUUUCAAAGUCUACCCUACAAAUUUAUUGGAAUAUCAAAAGGCAGUGUUCUUUUAAUGAAAACAAAGAUGGUGUCAUUUGUCCUGGUUUUGUGUGAAUAUAUCUAUGUAUAUGCACACUAACAGAAAAAAAUUCCUUCUAAUCUAAUUUGGUUGUGUUCUGGUGUGAUGUGAUUCUGGACAUAAAUGUAACAAAUCACAUUUUUGGUGAUAUUUUACUUGUAUCGGGAGUCUGUCGUCUUUUAUUGCAGAAUAAAUUUCACUUAAUGGUAAUGUUCUUCUUUGUGAUAUUCAACCAAGAAUUUUGGCUAUUAUUUUUGGAAUAAUAUGCAGUAAGAUGAGGUUGAAUGUGUUUGGUAUUCUGUUUCCAUUUUACAUGGAUGGGUGAUUUUGCUUUAUUAAAGGAAAUAUUUUUACAUAAUACCUUUUGCACUCUACCAUGAAGAUGGAAUUGAACCUGUUGUCAGUCAGAAAACUAAUGCAGGGUUAUUUGCAUUUCAUGGGUUGCAAUACAUUAGAUGUAGUAAGGUUUGAACUCAUGACCAUGUAAUCAAUAGUGCUAUUCCUGUCUUUUGUUUACAUGUAUUAUUUUGAAGAAACUGUUUGAAUUGGGAAUCGUUAUGCGUUUCCUCAAGGUACUAGAUGGCUGGAUUGUUGGAGUAUCAGACAGAAUAAUUUGUAGUCUGUCUUAGCUCUUUACAUUUUGAAUUUAAAUCCUGUUGAAGUCAACUUUGCCUUUCUUCCUCUUGUAGUUGAUAAAAUAAAGAACCAGUCAAUGAUAAUGACUAACACCUCGCCCUCAAAUUUCAGGCCUUGUGUUGUGUCUAUGCUAGAAACAGUAAUAUAUUUCCUAGUUAUAAUUACAAGAUUAAAUUAACCAAUCUUAUUACAUUUGCCAUAAUGCUUAUGCCAUUGCUUCACUCUUAAGAUCAGAGACAACAUUUUUGCAUUGGGAAUGCACUUUCUCCUCAUAGCACACCAAUUUGUUUUUUCCAAUGCUAUUUUUCUUUUCUUUUUUUAUUUAAUAUUUGAGCCUUCUUGCUUCUCUCCUGGGAAAGAGAACUAUUGGAUGUCUUCAUGGUUCAUUUAAUUCUUAUUUAAAGAAACCUUACUGUUUUAUGUUUCUAGGUUUCAUAAUUAUAAUCUCAUCAUUUUUAUUAAGGUGUCAAUAAAACUGAGAUAAAUGGUAUAGUUAUAAUGGAUAAAACAUGAUUAGUAUGUUUUAAUGUUAUUAGCUUCUUAAUCUUUGCAUUUUAAUUCGUCUUCAUCCUGCAGUCAUGUGUUAUCUAAUAACUAUGUCUGAGUCUCCUGAUAAUAGAUAAAGCAUGAUUGCUUUAUGUAAAAUAGCAUUCUUUACAGAUUUCUAAAAUCCUAAAGCAUAUGAAAAUAUUUUGAUUGGUGAUAAGCUUUGCAUCAUAUUUGGUUAGUUCUGAAAACAUGUUUGGUCAUCAAGGGAUAGCAAAUGUUUUAUAUUUUCUUUUUUUGUGAUGUUAUAUAUAAACUGAAAGAGUGAAAAUAGUGAACUUGGCUAAUAUAAUUAUUGGCAAUAGUUUUAGUUUUCUUUCAUUUGUGCAGUCAUCAGAAUUAUUUGAUUGAAAUUUUAAUAGAAAACAUCCUCACCAUUUAACAUCCAUACAUGUACAUGUAUAUUUUACAUUUUGUUUCCAUACUGUCAUGGUUGGAAUUAUUUGUCCAUUUCAAGUAUCUAACAUUUUUACUAAAUCUUGCUUCAAUUGAGUUAGUACUUUUAACUAUAUUAUUCUUUUGCCUAAAUUAAGAUGUUAUUUGUUGUAAUUGGAUGACAGCCAACACUGCCUGCAUCACCUGCCUGCCACCCAUAACAGCUUCAGCUUUACAGAUUCCCAAGGGGUCUCUGAUUCUUCCAGUUCUGGAUUUUCUAUGAUAUAACAUUUCCACAUAUAGUGAUAAUUAAGCUAGUGUUUUAAGGUGACCCCUACCUCUCAUACAUUUGUUAAGACACUAUCUCUAGAAGGGUUACCAGCCAAAUCGUAAGAGGCCCUCUUCUCUAUGAGACAGACUGCUGUACACCAACCUAAUAUUUGUUAUUGAACAAAUAUAUUUACUGCUAGCUGCCAUUUCUAUUGUUAAUCAAUCAGUUAUUAUGUGAAAUCUGUUGACUAUUCACAAACUGAUAUAAGCAGUUAUUUUUUAACCCUGCCUCGUGGCAUGGAAGAUGGCUAUAGUAUUAACAUUUCAAUAAAAUGUUUUCAGCCAAAAAUCUUCAGUAAAUUUUAUAUGAUAAAAAAACAAACAAAAAGUAGUGUCUCAUGUCUGUGAAAAAGGCCAAAAUUGGCUGAUGUAUCACAGAGUUAUUUUGUGGUAAGGUUACAAGAGAUGAUGGUGGUCAGUCACCGAAACAUUAGCCAUUUGUUUGCGUGUGUGAAUAACAUAUAUAAUAUGAAAAUAAAACACUUUUGAUAAAAUCUGAAUUGUUCAUUCAGUUGUUCAUUCAGUUGUUUAUAAAUGAAAGCAAGUGUCAUCACGUGGCUUACUGACCUUUGUGAGCUUAAGACACAGCUUUAUUUCAAAUCUUCAUUUCUUGUUGAAUUGUUUUGUUUCCCAUAUACCCCUACUGCUCCUAUUGUUCAAAAUUCACUGUUUCUCCUUGCACAAAGCUAGCAGAAUUUAUCAACCAUAGAUUGAUAUCUCUCAUUAGGGAAUGUCAAGGAAAUGACUUUAUUUGAUGAGAUGGAUAUCUUAGGAUUGAUAUAAAUAAAUGUGCAGUCUUUUCAAUAUUUUUUUGAAAUAAAGGUAAACAAAACAUAAAGACUUGUGCCUACUGAACUUCUUUCUUAUAGCUUCCUACAUAUUCUGUGGAAAAUUAUUUGACUGCAUUUUAACGUUUUUCCAUAACACAUUAAUACACAACAUAUACUCCACAGAAGCUGAAGGCAGGAAAAGCAUGCAUGUACAUCAUUCUCAUAUUCUUCCUUCCCUAUAAAUUUGAAAUUUUGUGCCUAAUCAUAUAAGAUCAAUAUUCAUGUUACAUACUAUUUUAUUUUCUAUUUGUAUGUUGAUAAAGAUACCAUGGUUAACUUUCUCUUUUUUGUCAUUCAACUCUACCAUCAACUUCACUAAAUGCUUUAUACCCACAAUUCCACUCACAAAAACCUUUCACUAAUAACUAGUACUGUUUACUUUUCACUGGUUCCACUUGCUUCCACAGUUGACAAAUUUGUAAAAUCUUAUAGCUGAACACUACUAGACCCAAAUAUCCAGUUGUAUUUAAAUUGUUACCCCAUGUAAUGCUUCCUUUUUGAAAGGAUAUCCUAACUCUGCCAAUAGGGAUUCUUUUCAAAUGGAGUAUGAAUGCAGCUAUAUGCCAUAAUCCCCUAGAAAGACUAUUUUGGUUCCUUUAUUACUCAGUUACUUCUACAUUAUAAUUCAUGUUUUACAGAGGUAAUUAAUAAACAAGUCUGAAUGAUUUAUUUCAUGAGUAAAGUGUUCAGAACCACUGCAUAGCUAUUUUUUUUUUUUUUUUUUUCAUACAUACCACAUCUCAACUACAAUCUCUUUCUCUCUCACACACACACUUUCUUAUCUCUAUCGCUCUCUCUAUCUGUUGGAUGUCUGGAAUGCAGGAAAAUAAAUAAGAUAUUAAACUAAGAUGGUUAACACUCUUAGUGUCAAUAUUUUAAAUUUCACUUUUGAAACUUUAUAUAGAUAUAAGCAAAUAGAUUUCUAAAUUCAUCAUUUUCCUUUUUCUCAAUUUAUCCUGAUGUGACUUGUCAUUAAGUUUCUUUUUUUGUGUGUAUGUAUGUGUGUGUGUGUGUUUUGUUUUUCCUUUUAAUUCUAUAAUCUAUAUUUGUGUUUACUUGCCUGAAAAGCAGAAAAAAAAAAAUUAUUAUUUUACACUUGCAAUUUUAUUUAAUAUUGAGUUAAUUUGAACUAAUUAUUCCUGAAUUUCCUAUAUUUCCUAUAAUUUGAUAUCUGCUUCAAAGACUUUCACAUUCCCUUUUAAUAUAGUAGUGUGUCUGUGAGUAUAUAUUUGUCUGAGCAGAUAGUGAUGUUGGUUCAGCUAUGUACACAUUGUUUGUAAUCACCACUCCAAAAGAAUAACUAUCUUCCAUCAAACAAACAAACAGAAGACCCAAAUAAUACAUGAUUUUGUAUGUUUUACAUAAAACCAUAUACUGUUGGUUUUAUAUAUGUGAGUAGACCUAUUAAAGGUAUUUUAACAGUAACAUUUCCAUCUUUUCAUGUAUUGGGGACUAUAUUUUUGAAUGUAUCUUUAAGAUUGUAGGAUGUGAUUUGAGGGCAAUUUAGUUGCUAUUUCUUGUAAGUCUUGUUUAUCACAUGGUGGCUUCUCCCAAGUUUAUUCUACAGCUGGAGUUUUUUGUUCUUAUACUUACAAUCAGAGGUUGUGAUACAGUUGUCCUGACUGUUUUUUAUCUCUUCACUAUGUGUUUUCAUUUAGUGCUAUAAAAGCAACAAUUAAUUACCAGUUCUAUGAACCUGUGAAGUUCAUAGUAAGAUUAACUCUAUUAUAGAUUAUCAGCCACAUGCAAAAUUUUAUCUUUCCUCGUCCACAGUGGUCCUCGGUUAUUUUGGCUCAAACAUUCCCAUUUGAUUUUGUAAAAUCAAGCCCCUUCCCUGUCCCCUCAACAUCACAUUGCACUUAUACAAGUAUACUACUUUUGGCAUCUUUAUUUUAAGGAAAUAUUUGUUGCUUAUUAAGGUGCCAUAAGAACAAUAAUGGUAAAUUCUAAUUUAUAUAAAUUUUAAUUGGGUUGGAGAAAAUCACAUCUUAAUAUAAAUCUGAAGAAAGACGGUGAGCUGGCAGAAUUAACACACCGGUCUUUAUGUGCUGGAUUCAAAUGCUACUGGAGUUGACUUGACCUUUCAUCCUUUUGAAGUUAUUAAAUAAGCAGUAGUUGAGCACUGGGAUUGAUUUAAUCAACUUAGCUCUUCCCCUGAACUUUCUGGCCUUGUGCCAAAAUUUGAAACCAAUAUAAACCUGAAGUAAUCAGAGUAUAUCUAGAGAAUAUGCUCAACUUGUGGGAGUGUUAAAACUUUAAGCAAGUGGAAAAUAAUAGUGAUACCAUAUGAAGUACUGUUGUGACAGAGGAUGUGGUAGCAAACCCCUUUAUCUGUAAAUAUGGGAAAAUAACUUAUGCAAAACAAUAUUCUUCACAGAAAUGAAAUUGUAAAAUAGCAUUUUGAGAUCAAUUUAGAAAUGAUUAUGAAAAUUGUACAAUGAAUGGCAAAAACAGAAAAGAUGUUUUCCUUCAAAUAUGCAGUUAUGUCUUGAUGUCUGCUAACCAUAAUAGUGUCCCCUUAAGUUCCACAGUCAGUUAUGUUAGUAGAAUUUAUUUUUUUUAUCCAGAAAAACUUCUACAAUUUUAAUGUUAAAAAAACCCCUUGCAAUUUGUUGGUGUUAACAGAACAAAUAACUCUACAGCACUCUUGAUAGGGAGCAUAAUGCCCAUGUACUCAAAGUAAUAACUCAUUAGCCCUCAGAAUAGUUUCAGCAAUUUGCAGAAUAAACUGUUUCUCUUUUUGGAGUGUAUUUCAUAUCAAGAGACAUUUCACCUUUCAUGUAACAGUGUAAUUACUGAUUAGGAUACGUCUGAUUAUCACCAUAAGAUUGAGAAACAAUAGACAGCAUUUCUGAAAAAAUGAUUCACCAAAGCUCUGUGACUUUCCCAACUUCAGUAUGAAUCUAGUUCUCAAAUUUCCCUGAUUUAAAAAUUU